AGAGAACUGGGGAGAACAAUGAGAGGUGAGUUAAAUCUAGUACAGUAGCUGCUGCUCUUGUUGGUGUGGUGGGUUUCUUCCUUUCUUGGUCGUCCUCAAUAAUUUAUGUACUCUCCUUUUGAAGGUGACUUUGCGAGGAAGUGAUCCCUCACUAGUCAGCAUUUUAUUAACUUAGUCGGCCCUUUGACAAUUGACUCAUGUUGUUGUACUAAAUUAUUACUUUUGCUUAAUUAAUUGAGAUUUUCUUUGUUGGUUGUGUGUUGCCAAUCUUAUGAAUUAACUCACUAGUAAUGUCUUAUGUUUCGCCUUUUGUGGUUAACACGUUUUCUUAUGUUGUUUGGCCU